AGUGGAAUAACUGAGUCAUAUAGUAAUUCUAUGUUCAGUUCCUUGAGGAACUGCCAAACUGUUUUCCACAGCAGCUGCAUGAUUUUAUAUUCUCACCAGUGAU
rnacentral:pre_miRNA from 1 species